CCUGUGAUGUAAAUACGGCAGCAGCAGCCUGGGAAACGAUGCUGUGAUGUCCGGAAAGCCUACAGCUCCGGGGAAAGGGGCGCUAGACGGGAUACCCCAGUUGUUGGCAAAGUGCAGGGUGCAGGCCUUGGAAUAUGGCAAGUGUGUAUCAGCUGCAGCUGCUGGGAGGGAUGAACUGUGCAGAGGGGCUUGUGCAAAGGAGUUUGAAGAUCUGAAGCAGCGUAUAAUAAUGACUGCAAAGAGGAAGAUGAAGUGAGGACUGGAAGCUACAUGCAACAGAAUACACAACAUGGAUCUUUAUGUGGACUCCCUGACUUAUUUUGUUUGCUCUCAUUUAAAACUGUGAAAUGUAUCUACGGUUGCAAAGGAUCGGACAGAAGAAGAAAUAAUAAAAUAUAGAUCUCUAUUUGUG